UUGCGGCCACAUCAGGUUGAAACACCGGAUCCGUACAACCACCGAAGUUAAGCAACAGCGAGCCUGGGCAGUACCUAAAUGGGUGGCUUGAGAAUACCCGGUGCUGUAAG